GAUGAACGCUGGCGGCGUGCCUAAUACAUGCCAGUCGAGCGAACAGACGAGGAGCUUGCUCCUCUGACGUUAGCGGCGGACGGGUGAGUAACACGUGGAUAACCUACCUAUAAGACUGGGAUAACUUCGGGAAACCGGAGCUAAUACCGGAUAAUAUAUUGAACCGCAUGGUUCAAUAGUGAAAGACGGUUUUGCUGUCACUUAUAGAUGGAUCCGCGCCGCAUUAGCUAGUUGGUAAGGUAACGGCUUACCAAGGCGACGAUGCGUAGCCGACCUGAGAGGGUGAUCGGCCACACUGGAACUGAGACACGGCCCAGACUCCUACGGGAGGCAGCAGUAGGGAAUCUUCCGCAAUGGGCGAAAGCCUGACGGAGCAACGCCGCGUGAGUGAUGAAGGUCUUCGGAUCGUAAAACUCUGUUAUUAGGGAAGAACAAAUGUGUAAGUAACUAUGCACGUCUUGACGGUACCUAAUCAGAAAGCCACGGCUAACUACGUG
rnacentral:rRNA from 1 species